UACGGAGGGUGCGAGCGUUGUCCGGAAUCAUUGGGCGUAAAGGGCGCGUAGGUGGCCGAGUAAGCGUGCGGUGAAAGCUCGGGCGUCAACCCCGAGUCGGCCGUGCGAACUACUCAGCUCGAGCACUGUAGAGGCAGGCGGAAUUCCGGGUGUAGCGGUGGAAUGCGUAGAGAUCCGGAAGAACACCGGUGGCGAAGGCGGCCAUCGUGGACCGAGUACGUGACGCUGAGGCGCGGACAGCGUGGGAGCAAACGAGG
rnacentral:rRNA from 1 species